rnacentral:rRNA from 1 species
AGUAGGGAAUCUUCCGCAAUGGGCGAAAGCCUGACGGAGCAACGCCGCGUGAGUGAUGAAGGUCUUCGGAUCGUAAAACUCUGUUAUUAGGGAAGAACAUAUGUGUAAGUAACUGUGCACAUCUUGACGGUACCUAAUCAGAAAGCCACGGCUAACUACGUGCCAGCAGCCGCGGUAAUACGUAGGUGGCAAGCGUUAUCCGGAAUUAUUGGGCGUAAAGCGCGCGUAGGCGGUUUUUUAAGUCUGAUGUGAAAGCCCACGGCUCAACCGUGGAGGGUCAUUGGAAACUGGGAAGCUUGAGUGCAGAAGAGGAAAGCGGAAUUCCACGUGUAGCGGUGAAAUGCGUAGAGAUGUGGAGGAACACCAGUGGCGAAGGCGGCUUUCUGGUCUGUAACUGACGCUGAGGCGCGAAAGCGUGGGGAGCAAA